GUCUUACAGCCGCCGCAGUAACACAUGCAAGUCGAGCGAAGACUUCGGUCUUAGCGGCGGACGGGUGAGUAACGCGUGGGAACAUACCCUUUGCUACGGAACAGUCCCGGGAAACUGGGUUUAAUACCGUAUACGCCCUUCGGGGGAAAGAUUUAUCGGCAAAGGAUUGGCCCGCGUUGGAUUAGGUAGUUGGUGGGGUAAAGGCCUACCAAGCCGACGAUCCAUAGCUGGUUUGAGAGGAUGAUCAGCCACACUGGGACUGAGACACGGCCCAGACUCCUACGGGAGGCAGCAGUGGGGAAUCUUAGACAAUGGGGGCAACCCUGAUCUAGCCAUGCCGCGUGAGUGAUGAAGGCCCUAGGGUUGUAAAGCUCUUUCAGCUGGGAAGAUAAUGACGGUACCAGCAGAAGAAGCCCCGGCUAACUCCGUGCCAGCCGCCGCAGUAAAAC
rnacentral:rRNA from 1 species